rfam:Camelus ferus unplaced genomic scaffold scaffold595, whole genome shotgun sequence.
CUAAAGGCUCUUUUCAGAGCCAAUAACUUAAAUUAGUGAAAGAUG